GACUACUGGGGUAUCUAAUCCCGAUCGCUCCCCACGCUUUCGUCCCUGAGCGUCAGUUUCAGAGUAGGAAACCGCCUUCGCUACUGGUGUUCCUGCCAAUAUCUACGCAUUCCACCGCUACACUGGCAGUUCCGUUUCCCCCCUCUGAACUCAAAGUUAAACAGUUUCAGUCCCAAUUCUCUGGUUGAGCCAGAGUAUUUCAAAACUGACACGCUUAACCGCCUGCGGACCCUUUACACCCAAUAAAUCCGGGUAACGCUUGCCCCCCCCGUAUUACCGCGGCUGCUGGCACGGAAUUAGCCGGGGCUUCCUUUAACGGUACCGUCUUCCGCCUAAGCGGAUUCUUCCCGUUUGACAGAGUUUUAAGACCCGAAGGCCUUCAUCACUCACGCGGCGUCGCUGGAUCACCCUUGCGGGCAUUGUCCAAUAUUCCUCACUGCAGCCCCCCGUAGG
rnacentral:rRNA from 1 species